rnacentral:rRNA from 1 species
GAUGAACGCUGGCGGCGUGCCUAAUACAUGCAAGUCGAGCGAACGGACGAGAAGCUUGCUUCUCUGAUGUUAGCGGCGGACGGGUGAGUAACACGUGGAUAACCUACCUAUAAGACUGGGAUAACUUCGGGAAACCGGAGCUAAUACCGGAUAAUAUUUUGAACCGCAUGGUUCAAAAGUGAAAGACGGUCUUGCUGUCACUUAUAGAUGGAUCCGCGCUGCAUUAGCUAGUUGGUAAGGUAACGGCUUACCAAGGCAACGAUGCAUAGCCGACCUGAGAGGGUGAUCGGCCACACUGGAACUGAGACACGGUCCAGACUCCUACGGGAGGCAGCAGUAGGGAAUCUUCCGCAAUGGGCGAAAGCCUGACGGAGCAACGCCGCGUGAGUGAUGAAGGUCUUCGGAUCGUAAAACUCUGUUAUUAGGGAAGAACAUAUGUGUAAGUAACUGUGCACAUCUUGACGGUACCUAAUCAGAAAGCCACGGCUAACUACGUGCCAGCAGCCGCGGUAAUACGUAGGUGGCAAGCGUUAUCCGGAAUUAUUGGGCGUAAAGCGCGCGUAGGCGGUUUUUUAAGUCUGAUGUGAAAGCCCACGGCUCAACCGUGGAGGGUCAUUGGAAACUGGAAAACUUGAGUGCAGAAGAGGAAAGUGGAAUUCCAUGUGUAGCGGUGAAAUGCGCAGAGAUAUGGAGGAACACCAGUGGCGAAGGCGACUUUCUGGUCCGUAACUGACGCUGAUGUGCGAAAGCGUGGGGAUCAAACAGGAUUAGAUACCCUGGUAGUCCACGCCGUAAACGAUGAGUGCUAAGUGUUAGGGGGUUUCCGCCCCUUAGUGCUGCAGCUAACGCAUUAAGCACUCCGCCUGGGGAGUACGACCGCAAGGUUGAAACUCAAAGGAAUUGACGGGGACCCGCACAAGCGGUGGAGCAUGUGGUUUAAUUCGAAGCAACGCGAAGAACCUUACCAAAUCUUGACAUCCUUUGACAACUCUAGAGAUAGAGCUUUCCCCUUCGGGGGACAAAGUGACAGGUGGUGCAUGGUUGUCGUCAGCUCGUGUCGUGAGAUGUUGGGUUAAGUCUCGCAACGAGCGCAACCCUUAAGCUUAGUUGCCAUCAUUAAGUUGGGCACUCUAAGUUGACUGCCGGUGACAAACCGGAGGAAGGUGGGGAUGACGUCAAAUCAUCAUGCCCCUUAUGAUUUGGGCUACACACGUGCUACAAUGGACAAUACAAAGGGCAGCGAAACCGUGAGGUCAAGCAAAUCCCAUAAAGUUGUUCUCAGUUCGGAUUGUAGUCUGCAACUCGACUACAUGAAGCUGGAAUCGCUAGUAAUCGUAGAUCAGCAUGCUACGGUGAAUACGUUCCCGGGUCU